UACGUAGGGUGCAAGCGUUGUCCGGAAUUAUUGGGCGUAAAGAGCUCGUAGGCGGUUUGUCGCGUCUGCUGUGAAAACUCAGGGCUUAACCCUGAGCUUGCAGUGGGUACGGGCAGACUAGAGUGCGGUAGGGGAGACUGGAAUUCCAGGUGUAGCGGUGAAAUGCGUAGAUAUCUGGAGGAACACCGGUGGCGAAGGCGGCAUCCUGGACCGGCAUUGACGCUGAGGGAGACGAAAAGGCCAGGGGAGACCAAAGCGGGUAUUAAGCAAACC
rnacentral:rRNA from 1 species